rnacentral:lncRNA from 1 species
CGAUGACACCAUUCAACCCAGUGCAUGCCUCCAUCAGCAACGUGUACGAAAACAAUCAGGGAGGAAAAAUUGAGUAAAGACAUGAAACUACUUAACUGGAAAAGGUGAUUAGACAGCAGAGUGGAAUUGAUGAUUUGGUGCCUCCUUUUCCCUGGAGCAUCAUCCCGAGAGACCACACACAGUUAUGACAUAAAGUCCAGCUGAAACGUUCAUUCCAGAUCUCUCUGAAUGGGAUACAUUCAGGCUCAGGGAGCCGCUCUUAACCGACGGUGUUGCCUAGGACAGAGAGCUGUGGAGCAGCGGGGAUCAGGAAUUCUGAUUCGCUCACUUCACAUUUGACACAUACGCAGUGCCUCCUGUUGGCUGAACCCAACGACAAGCCAGGCGGCCAGGGAAACUAGGGGAUGCAGUCAGUAAAGGUCAACCUCGUGGGACACUGCAGAGAAAACAGUGAAGAACCAUUCUGGAGGGACGAUGGAGCAGCAUCUCCAUCAUCUACUCUGUGGGCAGCAACUCCACUUUUAAGAAUAUUAUCCAAGGCACAUAAUCAGAGAAAAAAGUUCACUGCAGGCCAAUCUGCUUUCCUGGUCUGAAAAGAGCCCAUGUGUCAGUCUGUCUACAGAGCUGUGUCGCUUAAGCACAGGGCAAGGCUGGGAAGGACUGUUGACUACGGGCUCGGGAGGGGAGGCACCACUGCGCACAGGGUGGGGCAGACAUUUCUG